rnacentral:rRNA from 1 species
GAUGAACGCUGGCGGCGUGCCUAAUACAUGCAAGUCGAGCGAACGGACGAUAAGCUUGCUUCUCUGAUGUUAGCGGCGGACGUGUGAGUAACACGUGUAUAACCUACCUAUAAGACUGGGAUAACUUCGGGAAACCGGAGCUAAUACCGGAUAAUAUUUUGAACCGCAUGGUUGAAAAGUGAAAGACGGUCUUUCUGUCACUUAUAGAUGGAUCCGCGCUGCAUUAGCUAGUUGUGAAGGUAACGGGUUACGAAGGCAACGAUGCAUAGCCGACCUGAGAGGGUGAUCGGCCACACUGGAAGGGAGACCCGGUACAGACUCACACGGGAGGCAGCCGUAGGGAAACUUCCGGAAUGGGCGAAAGCCAGACGGAGCAACGCCGCGUGCGUGAUGAAGGUCUUCGGAUCGUAGAACUCUGUUAUUAGGGAAGAACAUAUGUGUAAGUAACUGUGAACAUCUUGAAGGUACCUAAGCAGAAAGCCACGGCUAACUUAGUG